rnacentral:rRNA from 1 species
UGGGGAAUAUUGGACAAUGGGGGGAACCCUGAUCCAGCAAUGCCGCGUGUGUGAAGAAGGCCCUUGGGUUGUAAAGCACUUUCAGUUAGGAGGAAAAGUUAGAGGUUAAUACCCUCUAGCCCUGACGUUACUAACAGAAGAAGCACCGGCUAACUCCGUGCCAGCAGCCGCGGUAAUACGGAGGGUGCGAGCGUUAAUCGGAAUUACUGGGCGUAAAGCGCACGUAGGCGGAUAUUUAAGUUGAAUGUGAAAGCCCUGGGCUUAACCUAGGAACUGCAUUCGAUACUGAAUAUCUUGAGUAUGGUAGAGGGAAGUGGAAUUUCCGGUGUAGCGGUGAAAUGCGUAGAUAUCGGAAGGAACACCAGUGGCGAAGGCGACUUCCUGGACCAAUACUGACGCUGAGGUGCGAAAGCGUGGGGAGCAAACAGG